UACAGAGGGUGCAAGCGUUGUUCGGAAUUACUGGGCGUAAAGGGCGCGUAGGCGGCCUUCUAAGUCGAACGUGAAAUCCCCGGGCUCAACCCGGGAACUGCGUCCGAUACUGGAAGGCUUGAAUCCGGGAGAGGGAUGCGGAAUUCCAGGUGUAGCGGUGAAAUGCGUAGAUAUCUGGAGGAACACCGGUGGCGAAGGCGGCAUCCUGGACCGGCAUUGAC
rnacentral:rRNA from 1 species